CGAAAUGGACGGAAACAUGCCAGUGUUUUGCUGCGUAAAAAGGAUUUAAUCUACAAAAUUGAGCUUGCAGGGGGCCUGGGAGCAAUCUUCCUCCUCCUUGUACUGCUGGUGGUCAUUUACAAAUGCUACAACAUUGAAUUGAUGCUCUUCUACAGGCAGCACUUUGGAGCUGAUGAAACUAAUGAUGACAACAAGGAAUAUGAUGCCUAUCUCUCUUACACAAAAGUGGACCAAGAUACUUUAGACUGUGACAAUCCUGAAGAAGAGCAGUUUGCUCUUGAAGUACUGCCAGAUGUCCUGGAAAAACACUAUGGAUAUAAACUCUUCAUCCCAGAAAGAGACCUGAUUCCAAGUGGAAAUCCAACUUCUAAUGAUGAAGCUUCCCACAUAACUUCUUUCUUUUUGGGAGCAGAAAGAAAGGAAGAAAAUGAAGAGUCAGAGCUGUUGAUACAUUGGGAAAAUAUUUUUCCACUCUAUUGAAACUUCCUACCUUUCCUUCCCUUCUGUUUCACCAGUUCU
rnacentral:sRNA from 2 species